rnacentral:rRNA from 1 species
CAGUAGCCGCGGUAAUACGUAGGGUGCAAGCGUUAAUCGGAAUUACUGGGCGUAAAGCGUGCGCAGGCGGUUCGUUAAGACAGAUGUGAAAUCCCCGGGCUUAACCUGGGAACUGCAUUUGUGACGGGCGGGCUAGAGUAUGGCAGAGGGGGGUAGAAUUCCACGUGUAGCAGUGAAAUGCGUAGAGAUGUGGAGGAAUACCGAUGGCGAAGGCAGCCCCCUGGGCCAAUACUGGCGCUCAUGCACGAAAGCGUGGGGAGCAAACAGGAUUAGAUACCCGUGUAGUCCCUGUCUCUUAUAC